AUUUAUGGUUGCACUCUAUUUGCAGUGAGCAGGGGCUGCUCUCUGGUUCCGGUGCACAGGCUUCUCUUUGUGAUGGCUUCUCGUGUUGCAGAGCAUGUGUUGUAGGGCGUGUGGGCUCAGUAGUUGUGGCAGGUGGGCUUAGUUGUCCAUGGCAUGUGGCAUCUUCCUGGACCAGGGAUCGGACCCAUGUCUCCUGAGUCCUGCACAGUGAGCGGUGACGCACUGAAUGGUCCAUUUUUCUUUUCUAAAUCCAGGGCUGUGUUUUGC
ensembl:lncRNA